rnacentral:lncRNA from 1 species
GGCAGUGCCAAGCACCCCUGGCAGCCCUGCAGAGGGUUCUCAAAUCCAGAUUUCAUUCUGCAGUCCCGGCAGUGUUUUGACGACUGCCUCACUAAAGGAAGCUAAAAGCUGUGCUGAUGCCUCCCAGACGAGCCUCGUUGGAAGCACAGAACCUUCACGGCUCGGAGCCGCUGACACCGUGACAAAGGGAGCCCUGCUCAGGAGAAAGAGCAAAUGAGAGGCAGUUGCACUUUUUCAGGUGUCAGGCUGGAGGAAGCCACUUGAAGAUGAAUCUACCUCUGCCUUAGGAUUGCCUGAUGGCCUGUGCCAUUCCAUGUUAUAUCUACUGAUUUGCUCCCUGUAUUCAAAGAUUUUUUUUUUUUACUUAAUUCUCUCUUACUGACCCUGAGAGUGACCAUAUUUUUAACCAAUUUGGUCUUCAGCCUCAAAACUUAGCUCUUUCCUUUUGUGGUCCCCGAAUCCUAUCACGUGUCAUGGUGGCUGUGAAGAUGUUUGCCAAGCCUGCUGAGAAGGCUCAUCUGUGGCAUCCAAAAGCAGAGAUUUCAACUCUGGACCCCUGUGACCUGCCUUUGUAAUUAUGGAUACCCAGCACUGUUUUGAAAUAUCAGUGGACAUCCAGUUUUUAAAAGCCCUCAGAGCUUUGGGAGACACCCCUUUAUCUCUCUGGCAUGUCAGAGAACCGAUUCAACCCUUCUCAUCUCCUCCUCCUUCCCUCUCUUGGGCCAUCAGGAUGCGGCAGCAACUCACUGUGCAUGUUUUUACAGCUCUUCUCCAGUAAUGCUGCCAUUUCCACUGCAGACCACAGGAUAAAAGGACCGCUUCACCGUGGCCCAGGAUACCCUUUUAAGUAGGAGGCUCAGUUGGAUCUCCAAGUGGCGGUACCGUUCUCUCCACUUCAAAAAUACACAGAAACAUGUGGAAAUGUUCUGUCAUCCAGAAUGAAAAGCAUGUGCACCAAAUUUUCACAGACCUGAUUCGAAUGUAGAUAAAAGUGCAAAAUCCAGAGGAGGGAACACGCUAUAGAAAUCCUGUCUUCUAUACUAUAAUUUAAUCAUCGUGUGCCACAGAAUGUCUUUGCAUAAAUUACAACCACAAUAAUAGCAUCACUUUCACAAAAGGUGGCCUCUAAUCGAUUUGACUCUCCAAGAGAUGGCUGGGUUUUUCAAAGCAGAGAAAUGAUGACCUGCAGUCUUAAAGAGCUGUUGAUUGCACCUGGGGCUCCCGUGGCCGGCGCCCAUCGAGCAGCCCAUCCUGGCUGUUCCCUUGUUCAGCUGAUUUUCUUUUUUAUCUUGACAUUUGCUAACCGCUUGGUUUUUAUUUUCCGGGAAGAGAGGAUUAUUGGCAACUGGCACCACCCCCAUGUCUGGAGGAGGGACGUUUCUAGGAUGACCCCCAGAGUGGAGAAAUAGCCGAGCUCAUGAGGCAACCCACACAGGCAGGCUGGAGAGGAGUGGCAAGAAGCUCACCUUCGGACAGUAGUGAGCAGAGCAACAGAGGCCCCCAGAGACUUCGCACAACGGAAAAGAGAUCAACUCCCGCAUUUGCAGGGGACGUGAAAGUGCAAUACUGUGAGGAACAAAAGGAAGCCUCAUCUCUGGAAGCCGGGAGGAAAAACAGUCGGUGUAGACAGCAGCGGCAGGGACCAGAGCUGACCAGAAGGCUGGGUCCCAGCAACAAUUAGAGACAGGCAGCAGCUGAGGCCCCUUCUCUGAGAACCAUUUCAAUUGCACAGUGGCCACAGAAGGCUCCAUUGGCCCGGCAGCCAGCUCUGCAGAGCCAUUUGUCCACAAGGAAAAUAAUAGCCCCGGCCUCAUUGCUUUGGGCUGCAGGGAGGACAAUGACCCACCAUGAAAAGAGUUAAAAAGAUUCUGGGGAAGGGGAAAGGCAGGCCCACACGGUGGCAAUUCAAGAUCUUUUGGAUGCCGUGAGCGUGUUCUUUAAUUAAGCCCCUCUUCUUCAGCUCAUCCUGCAGAAACGCACCUGCUUCCCAUCUGCCAUCCAAAACGGCAAGCACAAGAAUGACUUCACACUGUCACUUUCAGAGUUCCGCUGUGGCCCACAGUGAUUUUUCAAGAAAGGCAGCCACAGACUCGCUCGCGCUUUCUCUUUCUCCUUUCCUCUGAAAGACUCUAUAAAAACCACAUUAAAAAGUGUGUGAGCCAAGCAAUUUCAUUUAUCAAAGGAAGAAGGUCAUCCAUAGCAUUCAUUCUAAGAAUAUCAGGCACACGGCCAGCCCUGGACACAAGGCAUGAAGACCAGAGGGCCCUUUAUUGACCUAAUCUCUAUUUUGUCGCCAAACUGCAUCUGUGUCUGAAAGCUGGGACACACAAUAUUUCCCUCUACCAAAAUAAUUUUAUUUUCUGCAGCAGCAUGUAACAAACAAUUAAUGGUGGUAACAUGGGCUUCUGUCAUUUUCUGAACAACCCAGUUCUGUUUGGUGUUA